ACAUUUAUUCAACACUAGGAUUUUUCUCAGCAACUAUGGAGACUCAUUUGAAUAAAAAAAUGAGUCCUGAAGAAGAAUUCCAGUCACUGGGGAGAAUGGGGGAAUUAGGAUCAAUGAAGUCUAACAUUUGACAGGAAACAGACAUCAAGGAGAUAGAAGUAGAAGCUUAUUGAGAAGAAUGUCUGUGAAACAUAAAGGGGAGAAGAAGCAGGGGAGAAACUUAAGACUUUGAUGAAGGUAUGACACAUGUGAAAGAAGUUGGGGAAGAAGGAAGAUUGAGCAGAAAGAGCCUGAGACUGAGGUAUAUCUUUGAGAAUGUAUUGGGUGGCCUCAUGGGGAGCUUCAGCAGAAUGAUUGCCUUUACAUGUGCUCCAGAUGGGGCAGAGAUGGUCCAGCUCCAGUCAUCCUGCUGUGUUCAGUCAUUGGCUGGAAGUGGCCAAGGAAGAAGACACCCUUGACCUGAACACUGUGGUAGAUCCCUCAGGCACUGUGAAUGGAGGCUACCAGCUAGAUAGGCUACAUAGGGAAGAUUCUCACCUAGCAGAUCUGAAGGAAGUGACUGCUGUAAAUUCCUCACCCAUACUCGCUGAAAAGCUACAGGGCUCUGACCAUGU